rnacentral:rRNA from 1 species
UACAGAGGGGGCAAGCGUUGUUCGGAAUUACUGGGCGUAAAGGGCGCGUAGGCGGCCUGUUAAGUCGAACGUGAAAUCCCCGGGCUCAACCCGGGAACUGCGUCCGAUACUGGCAGGCUUGAAUCCGGGAGAGGGAUGCGGAAUUCCAGGUGUAGCGGUGAAAUGCGUAGAUAUCUGGAGGAACACCGGUGGCGAAGGCGG